UACGUAGGGUGCAAGCGUUAAUCGGAAUUACUGGGCGUAAAAGCGCACGUAGGCGGAUAUGUCAGUCAGGGGUGAAAUCCCGGGGGCUUAACCUCGGAACUGCCUUUGAUACAGCAUAUCUUAGUCCGAUAGAGGUGGGUGGAAUUCCUAGUGUAGAGGUGAAAUUCGUAGAUAUUAGGAAGAACACCGGUGGCGAAGGCGGCCCACUGGAUCGGUACUGACGCUGAGGUGCGAAAGCGUGGGGAGCAAACAGG
rnacentral:rRNA from 1 species